rnacentral:lncRNA from 1 species
AAAAAGCAACUGCAGCAUUUUGAGGGACUGACUUGCCGGCUCGAAGUCUUCAGAGCUCCUCGAACAGCGUGUUCGCUGCGUGUGCGUGUGUGUGUCUCCGCACCAGCAAGCGACAUCCUGACGGAAGUUUAUUUGUUAUUCUUGUCAAAAUUAUCAGUGUUCUAUAUGAAAAUUCUGGCCAAGUCACUUUUGCACCAGACAAGAAAUGGCCUAGCAAGUCAUUUUCAGUACUUCUUUCCUUCUCCAUCACUGUCCUUGGGGGAAAAGGAGGCACAUUAGCGCCCAAUACCUGCACCAGGAGCCAAGUCUUACAGGUAAGAUGACUCCCAUGGCAGGUGGAGAAGCCCAGGAGCCAGCUGGGUAUGGGUGCAUCUAAAUGUACUGUCCCUGGGAUGGUCAGAUAUUUGGAUAGUUUGGGAACAUCCUAUAACAUUUGUGUGGAUACUCCCUAAGUUAUGUUUCUUC